UUUUUUCAAUAUCAACUCGGUUCUGGUGGGGAUCAGCCAUCAGAGGUAAGGGGGAAAGUCCGGUGUAAAUCCGGCGCUGUCCCGCAACUGUAAUGGGGCUUAUGCCUCAAAGUCAGAAUGCCCGCCGAAAGUACAACAAAUUC
rnacentral:ncRNA from 2 species